rnacentral:rRNA from 1 species
AUUGAACGCUGGCGGCAUGCCUUACACAUGCAAGUCGAACGGCAGCACGGGUGCUUGCACCUGGUGGCGAGUGGCGAACGGGAGAGUAAUACAUCGGAACGUACCUUAUCGUGGGGGAUAACGCAGCGAAAGCUGUGCUAAUACCGCAUACGCCCUGAGGGGGAAAGCGGGGGAUCGCAAGACCUCGCGCGAUUAGAGCGGCCGAUGCCUGAUUAGCUUGUUUGGGGGGUAAAAGCCCACCAAGGCGACGAUCAGUAGCUGGACGGAGAGGACGAGAGGCCACACUGGGACUGAGACACGGCCCAGACGCCUACGGGAGGCGGCAGUGGGGAAUUUUGGGCAAUGGGGGCAACCCUGAUCCAGCAAUGCCGCGUGAGGGAAGAAGGACUUCGGGUUGUAAAGCUCGUUUGUCAGGGAAGAAACAGCGGUUCUAACACAGUCCAGGAAUGACGGUACCUGAAGAAUAAGCACCGGCUAACUACGUGCCAGCCGCCGCGGUAA